rnacentral:rRNA from 1 species
CCUACGGGAGGCAGCAGUGGGGAAUAUUGGGCAAUGGGCGCAAGCCUGACCCAGCAACGCCGCGUGAAGGAAGAAGGCUUUCGGGUUGUAAACUUCUUUUCUCAGGGACGAAGAAAGUGACGGUACCUGACGAAUAAGCCACGGCUAACUACGUGCCAGCAGCCGCGGUAAUGCGUAGGUGGCAAGCGUUCUCCGGAUUUAUUGGGUGUAAAGGGCGUGUAGGCGGGAGCGCAAGUCAGAUGUGAAAACUCAGGGCUCAACCCUGAGCCUGCAUUUGAAACUGUGUUUCUUGAGUGCUGGAGAGGCAAUCGGAAUUCCGGGUGUAGCGGUGAAAUGCGUAGAUAUACGGAGGAACACCAGUGGCGAAGGCGGAUUGCUGGACAGUAACUGACGCUGAGGCGCGAAAGCGUGGGGAGCAAACAGGAUUAGAUACCCUUGUAGUC